CUCUGAUCUUGGAGUAUGCUUUAUUUUGUGUGUCCCAUAAGGUGGUUGAAGGUAUUGUUCUGAUGACAUUCAAUCAACAUGGUAGGUCAAUUCAUAAAUUAAUAAAGGGGGUGCAUAGCCCCACGAGUAAGGGCUAUUAAAGUAAACAGGGGACUAAACGUCCCCUCCAGCCCCCUCCUGUGGCCAGCAUGUGGGGGCUAUUAAAUAAAAUAAACUAGGGGACUUAGUGUUCCCCCAACACCCACUCAUUGGCAG